rnacentral:rRNA from 1 species
UUACGGACUGAGAUAAUGGUUAACAGAGACAAACGGGGGCAUUCGUAUUGCUACGUGAGAGGUGAAAUUCUUGGACCGUAGCAAGACGAACUACAGCGAAAGCAUUUGCCAAGAAUGUCUUCAUUAAUCAAGAACGAAAGUCAGAGGUUCGAAGGCGAUCAGAUACCGCCCUAGUUCUGACCGUAAACGAUGCCAACUAGCGAUCCGCCGGUGGAUUCAUUGCCCUGGUGGGGAGCUUCCCGGAAACGAAAGUCUUCCGGUUCCGGGGGAAGUAUGGUUGCAAAGCUGAAACUUAAAGGAAUUGACGGAAGGGCACCACCAGGAGUGGAGCCUGCGGCUUAAUUGGACUCAACACGGGGAAACUCACCCGGCCCGGACACCGUAAGGAUUGACAGAUUGAUAGCUUUUUCAUGAUUCGGUGGAUGGUGGUGCAUGGCCGUUCUUAGUUCGUGGAGCGAUUUGUCUGGUUUAUUCCGAUAACGAGCGAGACUCUAGCCUACUAAAUAGUUCGCACAUUGUUUCUGUGUGUGUGACUUCUUAGAGGGAUUUUCGGUGUUCAGCCGCACGAAAUUGAGCAAUAACAGGUCUGUGAUGCCCUUAGAUGUCCGGGGCUGCACGCGCGCUACACUGGCAAAAUCAGCGUGCUUGUCCUUCCCCGAAAGGGGUUGGUAAACCCUUGAAAAUUUGCCGUGAUUGGGAUUGGAAAUUGCAAUUAUUUUCCAUGAACGAGGAAUUCCAAGUAAGUGCGAGUCAUCAGCUCGCGUUGAUUACGUCCCUGCCCUUUGUACACACCGCCCGUCGCUGCCCGGGACUGAGCCAUUUCGAGAAACUUGGGGACCGUGGAUUCGGUGGCUUUCGGGUCGCCGUUUUCGUGGGAACCAAUUUAAUCGCAGUGGCUUGAACC